UCAUCCGGCUAGACGAUUCUCGUGAAAGUUAAAAAUAGACGAGUGAAGUGAAAAUAGAUGGCCUGGCACGAGAUAUAGAGACUUCAUUGAUUUUGGGCUUCCUCUUCAUACAAAAUUAUUUAUGGUGUGACAAAUGGGUCAGGUUCUGCUCUGGAUACAGUGAAAAUGGUGGCAGAGAUUAAAACGGCAGAUAAAUAUGAUGACGUGAAUGCCAAAAUCCCUUGGAUGAAGUUUUACAGACAGAAUUUAGAAGAUGAAAGUGGAGAAAAUCACAUUGAAAAAGGUAUG